rnacentral:rRNA from 1 species
GAUGAACGCUGGCGGCGUGCCUAAUACAUGCAAGUCGAGCGAACAGACGUGGAGCUUGCUCCUCUGACGUUAGCGGCGGACGGGUGAGUAACACGUGGAUAACCUACCUAUAAGACUGGGAUAACUUCGGGAAACCGGAGCUAAUACCGGAUAAUAUAUUGAACCGCAUGGUUCAAUAGUGAAAGACGGUUUUGCUGUCACUUAUAGAUGGAUCCGCGCCGCAUUAGCUAGUUGGUAAGGUAACGGCUUACCAAGGCAACGAUGCGUAGCCGACCUGAGAGGGUGAUCGGCCACACUGGAACUGAGACACGGUCCAGACCCCUACGGGAGGCAGCAGUAGGGAAUCUUCCGCAAUGGGCGAAAGCUUGACGGAGCAACGCCGCGUGAGUGAUGAAGGUCUUCGGAUCGUAAAACUCUGUUAUUAGGGAAGAACAAAUGUGUAAGUAACUAUGCACGUCUUGACGGUACCUAAUCAGAAAGCCACGGCUAACUACGUG